GAUGAACGCUAGCGGCAGGCUUAAUACAUGCAAGUCGAGGGACAGCACAGGUAGCAAUACUGGGUGGUAACCGGCAAACGGGUGCGGAACACGUACACAACCUUCCUUUAAGUGGGGGAUGGCCCAGAGAAAUUUGGAUUAAUACCCCGUAAUAUAGUUGAAUGGCAUCAUUUGAUUAUUAUAGCUACGGCGCCUAAUGAUGGGUGUGCGGCUGAUUAGAUAGUUGGCGGGAUAACGGCCCACCAAGUCUACGAUCAGUAGCUGAUGUGAGAGCAUGAUCAGCCACACGGGCACUGAGACACGGGCCCGACUCCUACGGGAGGCAGCAGUAAGGAAUAUUGGUCAAUGGACGCAAGUCUGAACCAGCCAUGCCGCGUGAAGGAUUAAGGUCCUCUGGAUUGUAAACUUCUUUUAUUUGGGACGAAAAAGGGCCUUUCUAGGUCAACUGACGGUACCAGAUGAAUAAGCACCGGCUAACUCCGUGCCAGCCGCCGCCGUAACAC
rnacentral:rRNA from 1 species